rnacentral:rRNA from 1 species
UACGUAGGGUGCGAGCGUUGAUCGGAAUUACUGGGCGUAAAGUGUGCGCAGGCGGCACCGCAAGUCGAGUGUGAAAGCCCCGGGCUUAACUUGGGAAUUGCGCUCGAAACUAUGGUGCUGGAGUGUGGCAGAGGAAGGUGGAAUUCCACGUGUAGCGGUGAAAUGCGUAGAGAUGUGGAGGAACACCGAUGGCGAAGGCAGCCUUCUGGGCCAACACUGACGCUCAUGCACGAAAGCGUGGGGAGCAAACAGG